AACGACUCUCGACAACGGAUAUCUCGGCUCUCGCAUCGAUGAAGAACGUAGCGAAAUGCGAUACUUGGUGUGAAUUGCAGAAUCCCGUGAACCAUCGAGUCUUUGAACGCAAGUUGCGCCCGAAGCCACUAGGCCGAGGGCACGUCUGCCUGGGUGUCGCGC
rnacentral:rRNA from 2 species